ACAUCCCGAGAAUUUACUGGAAACAGAGAAGUGCCUCGCAAGAGGAAUUCGGAGACAGGUGCUGCAUGGCUGUCGUCAGCUCGUGUCGUGAGAUGUUGGGUUAAGUCCCGCAACGAGCGCAACCCUUGUCUUUAGUUGCCAUCAUUAAGUUGGGCACUCUAAAGAGACUGCUGGUGUCAAACCGGAGGAAGGUGGGGAUGACGUCAAGUCCUCAUGGCCUUUAUGACCAGGGCUACACACGUACUACAAUGGCAGGUACAAAGGGCAGCCACUUAGCGAUAAGGCGCGAAUCCCGUAAAACCUGUCUCAGUCCGGAUUGGAGUCUGCAACUCGACUCCAUGAAGUUGGAAUCGCUAGUAAUCGCAGAUCAGCACGCUGCGGUGAAUACGUUCCCGGGCCUU
rnacentral:rRNA from 1 species